GACAGAGGGUGCAACCGUUGUUCGGAAUUACUGGGCGUAAAGCGCGUGUAGGCGGCUCUGCAAGUCGGGUGUGAAAUCCCACGGCUCAACCAUGGAAGUGCACUCGAAACUGCAGGGCUAGAGUCCUGGAGAGGAAGGUGGAAUGCUUGGUGUAGAGGUGAAAUUCGUAGAUAUCAAGCGGAACACCGGUGGCGAAGGCGGCCUUCUGGACAGUGACUGACGCUGAGACGCGAAAGCGUGGGGAGCAAACAGG
rnacentral:rRNA from 1 species